rnacentral:sRNA from 12 species
UUGCCUAAAGCUAGUAUUACCUUUAGGCUACUUUUGUAGCGUGUAGCA